rnacentral:rRNA from 1 species
AUUGAACGCUGGCGGCAUGCCUUACACAUGCAAGUCGAACGGCAGCACGGGAGCAAUCCUGGUGGCGAGUGGCGAACGGGUGAGUAAUACAUCGGAACGUGCCCAAUCGUGGGGGAUAACGCAGCGAAAGCUGUGCUAAUACCGCAUACGAUCUACGGAUGAAAGCAGGGGAUCGCAAGACCUUGCGCGAAUGGAGCGGCCGAUGGCAGAUUAGGUAGUUGGUGAGGUAAAGGCUCACCAAGCCGUCGAUCUGUAGCUGGUCUGAGAGGACGACCAGCCACACUGGGACUGAGACACGGCCCAGACUCCUACGGGAGGCAGCAGUGGGGAAUUUUGGACAAUGGGCGAAAGCCUGAUCCAGCCAUGCCGCGUGCAGGAUGAAGGCCUUCGGGUUGUAAACUGCUUUUGUACGGAACGAAACGGCCUUUUCUAAUAAAGAGGGCUAAUGACGGUACCGUAAGAGUAAGCACCGGCUAACUACGUGCCAGCAGCCGCGGUAAUACGUAGGGUGCAAGCGUUAAUCGGAAUUACUGGGCGUAAAGCGUGCGCAGGCGGUUAUGUAAGACAGUUGUGAAAUCCCCGGGCUCAACCUGGGAACUGCAUCUGUGACUGCAUAGCUAGAGUACGGUAGAGGGGGAUGGAAUUCCGCGUGUAGCAGUGAAAUGCGUAGAUAUGCGGAGGAACACCGAUGGCGAAGGCAAUCCCCUGGACCUGUACUGACGCUCAUGCACAAAAGCGUGGGGAGCAAACAGG